UACACAGCUUUUCCGUCAACGACAAUAAAAUGUACACAUUCUAAUUUACCAGUUGUUUUGAGAAUGUAUUAUACAGAAGACCACAAGGGUUAGGGGCUCAUAAGUGUUGACUUCACUGAAUUGGGUAGCAAAAAAAAAAAAACAAUUUAACAGUAUUUGCAUGCACCAAGCAAUGCCUAACUGAUAGGCAUAA